UACGGGGGGAGCAAGCGUUGUUCGGAUUUACUGGGCGUAAAGGGCGCGUAGGCGGUCAGUGCAAGUCAGUUGUGAAAUCUCCGGGCUUAACUCGGAACGGUCAACUGAUACUGCUCGACUAGAGUGCGGAAGGGGCAACUGGAAUUCUCGGUGUAGCGGUGAAAUGCGUAGAUAUCGAGAGGAACACCUGCGGCGAAGGCGGGUUGCUGGGCUGACACUGACGCUGAUGCGCGAAAGCCAGGGGAGCGAACGGG
rnacentral:rRNA from 1 species